CCUACGGGAGGCAGCAGUGGGGAAUAUUGGGCAAUGGGCGCAAGCCUGAACCAGCAACGCCGCGUGAAGGAAGAAGGCUCUCGGGUUGUAAACUUCUUUUCUCAGGGACGAAGCAAGUGACGGUACCUGAGGAAUAAGCCACGGCUUACUACGUGCCAGCAGCCGCGGGAAUACGGAGGUGGCAAGCGUUAUCCGGAUUUACUGGGUGUAAAGGGCGUGUAGGCGGGACUGCAAGUCAGAUGUUAAAACCAUGGGCUCAACCUAUGGCCUGCAUUUGAAACUGUAGUUCUUGAGUACUGGGGAGGCAGACGGAAUUCCUGGUGUAGCGGUGAAAUGCGUAGAUAUUAGGAGGAACACCAGUGGCGAAGGCGGUCUGCUGGACAGCAACUGACGCUGAGGCGCGAAAGCGUGGGGAGCAAACAGGAUUAGAUACCCUAGUAGUC
rnacentral:rRNA from 1 species